rnacentral:rRNA from 1 species
ACGCUCGACACCUACGGGAGACAGCAGUGGGGAAUAUUGCACAAUGGGGGAAACCCUGAUGCAGCGACGCCGCGUGAGCGAAGAAGUAUUUCGGUAUGUAAAGCUCUAUCAGCAGGGAAGAAAGUGACGGUACCUGACUAAGAAGCACCGGCUAAAUACGUGCCAACAGCCGCGGUAAUCUGAGCGGGCUGGCAAGGC